AUGAACCUUUGAGGGUUGAGCUGGCGUUUAUUCGCAUGUGCUUGCCCUCUCAUCCUUUAUACACCUGUGCACUUUCGAAGGGAGACAUUAGUAGACAUUCACUUGUCGAAGGUAUCUCCCUUUACACUACGUACUCUAAUGAUUACUUUGAAUGUUUAAACGCUUAACAGCAUUUAAUUA
rnacentral:misc_RNA from 1 species